rnacentral:rRNA from 1 species
UACGGGGGGGGCAAGCGUUGUCCGGAAUUAUUGGGCGUAAAGGGCUCGUAGGCGGUUUAUUACGUCUGCCGUGAAAUCCCCAGGCUUAACCUGGGAACUGCGUCGGAUACUGGAUGGCUUGAAUCCGGGAGAGGGAUGCGGAAUUCCAGGUGUAGCGGUGAAAUUCGUAGAUAUUCGCAAGAACACCAGUGGCGAAGGCGGCUCACUGGCCCGAUACUGACGCUGAGGUGCGAAAGCGUGGGGAGCAAACAGG